rnacentral:rRNA from 1 species
CAGUAGCCGCGGUAAUACGAGGGGGGCAAGCGUUGUUCGGAAUUAUUGGGCGUAAAGGGCGCGUAGGCGGUUUGGCAAGUUUGGUGUGAAAUCUUCGGGCUCAACUCGAAGUCUGCACCGAAAACUGCCGGGCUUGAGUAUGGAAGAGGUGAGUGGAAUUCCGAGUGUAGAGGUGAAAUUCGUAGAUAUUCGGAGGAACACCAGUGGCGAAGGCGGCUUACUGGUCCAUUACUGACGCUGAGGUGCGAAAGCGUGGGGAGCAAACAGGAUUAGAGACCCCCGUAGUCCCUGUCUCUUAUAC